UGAUGAACGCUGGCGGCGUGCUUAACACAUGCAAGUCGAACGAACCUUCGGGUUAGUGGCGGACGGGUGAGUAACGCGUGAGAAUCUGCCCUCACGAGGGGGAUAACGGCUGGAAACGGCCGCUAAUACCCCAUAUGCCGCGAGGUGAAAUGAAUUUCGCCUGAGGAUGAGCUCGCGUCUGAUUAGCUAGUUGGUGGGGUAAAGGCCUACCAAGGCUUCGAUCAGUAGCUGGUCUGAGAGGAUGAUCAGCCACACUGGGACUGAGACACGGCCCAGACUCCUACGGGAGGCAGCAGUGGGGAAUUUUCCGCAAUGGGCGAAAGCCUGACGGAGCAACGCCGCGUGAGGGAUGAAGGCCUCUGGGCUGUAAACCUCUUUUAUCAAGGAAGAAGAUCUGACGGUUCUUGAUGAAUAAGCCACGGCUAAUUCCGUGCCCAGCAU
rnacentral:rRNA from 1 species